ensembl:snoRNA
AUACUUUUUAGUUCAUAAGCAUGACAAUUGGGUGUUCAUGCCAUUGUGUGAUACAUGCCUCCCCAACACUUUGUUAGGAUAUUAGCAUAGUACCCAUCUGAUG